UUGCUAACCUGGCGGCGUGCCUAAUUCAUGCAGUCGAGCGAACGGACGAGAAGCUUGCUUCUCUGAUGUUAGCGGCGGACGGGUGAGUAACACGUGGAUAACCUACCUAUAAGACUGGGAUAACUUCGGGAAACCGGAGCUAAUACCGGAUAAUAUUUUGAACCGCAUGGUUCAAAAGUGAAAGACGGUCUUGCUGUCACUUAUAGAUGGAUCCGCGCUGCAUUAGCUAGUUGGUAAGGUAACGGCUUACCAAGGCAACGAUGCAUAGCCGACCUGAGAGGGUGAUCGGCCACACUGGAACUGAGACACGGUCCAGACUCCUACGGGAGGCAGCAGUAGGGGAUCUUCCGCAAUGGGCGAAAGCCUGACGGAGCAACGCCGCGUGAGUGAUGAAGGUCUUCGGAUCGUAAAACUCUGUUAUUAGGGAAGAACAUAUGUGUAAGUAACUGUGCACAUCUUGACGGUACCUAAUCAGAAAGCCACGGCUAACUACGUGCCAGCAGCCGCGGUAAU
rnacentral:rRNA from 1 species